rnacentral:rRNA from 1 species
ACUCCUACGGGAGGCAGCAGUGGGAAUAUUGCACAAAUGGGGAAGCCAUCGAUGCAGCCAUGCCGCGCUGUGUGAAGAAGGCCAAUUCGGGCUUGGUUAAAGACACUUUUCAGUAGGGAGGAAGGUAGUGUAGUUAACACCUGCAUUAUUUGACGUUACCUACAGAAGAAGCACCGGCUAACUCCGUGCCAGCAGCCGCGGUAAUACGGAGGGUGCGAGCGUUAAUCGGAAUUACUGGGCGUAAAGCGCGUGUAGGUGGCUUGUUAAGCCAGAUGUGAAAGCCC